UGGUAGCACUUCCGCUCUUUGCCACACAACCUGGUUGGCAUUAAUAAGGGUUGCAGAAGUGGAGAGAAAAUAACUUUAUUUUCAUUCUUUUAUCCUUCAGAUUUUUUUUCCCCAAGGAGAAGAAAAUCAAUGGCAAGGUCUUCCCGAAGUCCAUUUCAUUUCCCAUUUCUGGAAUACUCAACCCAGGAGCUCAGGUUUCCAAACAAAUUAGAAGGGUCCAAGGUCAUGGAGAGGGGGAUGUGGCUGUCGAGGUGUUUCUCUGGCUGGGAUGAACGGAUGAGACGGGACGGGCUGCUCUGGCAUGAUGGGAUCCCGGGAUGAUUGGGGCGACUCGGGGUACUCGGGCCAUUGUGGUAUCUGUGGAGUCUGUGGGUACACGGGAUAUUGAGCCCCGCCAGGCCUUUGCACUGAUGGCUGGGAGGACGGCGGCUGAGGAUACGUCGGGUUCCGCUCUUCCCAAGACAAUCCCGUACUCUGAAGAUCAUCGUCCUCCAGUUGUCGGAGAGAGAUCUGCACAUCAGAGCGGGAGUAGGUGUAUCCGUGACCAGCCGGGCAGAUCUCCUUAAAAUGAUCUGUGGGGUUACAAAAGUGUAAAUACUAAUAUUAGUAUUAGUACCGGAGUUCAAUCCCACCCUCGGCUAUCUCUGUGUGGAGUUUGCAUGUUCUCCCCCGUCCGGGUACUCCGGUUUCCUCCCACAUUCCAAAAAAACAUGCUAGGUUAAUUAGCGACUUCAUAUUGUCCAUAGGUAUGAAUGUGAGUGUGAAUGGUUGUUUGUCUAUAUGUGCCCUGUGAUUGGCUGGCCACCAGUCCAGGGUGUACCCCGCCUCUCGCCCCGAAGACAGCUAGGAUAGGCUCCAGCACCCCCGCAACCCUUGUGAGGAUAAGCGGUAGAAAAUGAAUGAAUGAAUGUUGCAAAAUAACUAAACGGACCAAAGACAGCUGGGAUAGGCUCCAGCACCCCCGCAAACCCUUGUGAAAAUGAAUGAAUGAAUGAAUGUUGCAAAAUGACGAAAUGGACCGAAAACAGCUGGGAUAGGCUCCAGCACCCCCGCGACCCUCGUGGAAAUGAAUGAAUUAAUGAAUGUUGCAAAAUAACUAAAUGGACCGAAGACAGCUGGGAUAGGCUCCAACACCCCCGCGACUCUUGUGAGGAAAAGCGGUAGAAAAUGAAUGAAUGAAUGAAUGAAUGUUGAAAAAUAACUAAAUGGACCAAAGACAGCUGGGAUAGGCUCCAGCACCCCCGCGUCUCUCGUGAAAAUGAAUGAAUGAAUGAAUGAAUAAAUGUUACAAAAUAACUAAAUGGACCGAAGACAGCUGGAAUAGGCUCCAGCACCCCCGCGACCCUCGUGAGGAUGAGCAGAAUGAAUGAAUGAAUGAAUGAAUGUUGCAAAAUAACGAAAUAGACCAAAGACAGCUGGGAUAGGCUCCAGCACCCUUGUGACCCUCGUGAAAAUGAAUGAAUUCAUGAAUGAAUUCAUGAAUGUUGCAAAAUAACUAAAUGGACCGAAGACAGCUGGGAUAGGCUCCAGCACCCCCGCAACCCUCGUGAAAAUGAAUGAAUGAAUGAUUGUUGCAAAAUAACAAAAUGGACCAAAGACAGCUGGGAUAGGCUCCAGCACCCCCACGAAAAUGAAUGAAUGAAUGUUGCAAAAUAACUAAAUGGACGGGAGACAGCUGGGAUAGGCUCCAGCACCCCCGCAAAAAUGAAUGAAUGAAUGAAUGUUGCAAAAUAACUGAAUGGACCAACGACAGUUGGGAUAGGCUCCAGCACCCCCGCGACCCUUGUGAAAAUGAAUGAAUGAACGAAUGAAUGAAUGUUGAAAAAUAACUAAAUGGACCGAAGACAGCUGGGAUAGGCUCCAGCACCCCCGCUACCCUCGUGAGGAUAAGUGGUAGAAAAUGAAUGAAUGAAUGAAUGAAUGACACAACAGGAUUAUUAUUAUUAUUUUGUGAAAUGUACCGUUUGUAUCUGUUUGAAUUGACGGUUCUCACGGCGUCAAGGCUGUCAAGUUCGUCAAGUUCAGUAAGAAUCUGCAUACCCAAACAGCUCGAGAACUCUCGUUACUAAUUACUAGCCAGACAGACAGAGCGAGACCGGGAUACCUCAGAGAUGGUGAAUCCAUUACAGGCCAGAAGAACAGUGUCCUCUAUUUGACCUGACAGCGGCAGCUCGAUGCCAGAAGGAUCUGGAAUAACGAUGUGCGUAACGACAGCUAAAUACGAUGGCGGUUAAGGGCAGGAGACGCGCUUGUUACGAGAUACCAAUUGGUGAAAAUGAGGCUAGUUUUAUGAUCCGCGGCCAUAUUACAGGAGCUGGAGUGCAAAUGGAAUAAAAGUCUGUAGUCUUCAGAACACGACUCAGAUGGCCAGAGGCUAUGUCUCCAUGUCCGAUUCAGCACCGUGGAGGUCUACAUAUGAUAUCUGAUCUGUGACGAUUAUUACGAUAUAAAUCACCGACCAGUCCAUAAAGUCAUCAUUUUCUCUUUGAAACGUUUGAACAUCAAAAUUUUCCCGAUGUUUUUUUUGGCAAAGCGAUUUAUUUCUGAUUAUUAUUGAGGUUUCUUUCAGUGGACAUGAGCGAUAACUCAACGUUUAUUGUUUUUAGGUCUUUUGCCAAUUCAAACACAUUUUCAUCUUAUUUUGAAAUCAUUUGCACACCUGGUAGACGACAAGGUGCUGAUUGACCGACUUGAUUGAAUCGUUUUUUUUUCUUUCACAAACACUGCAUGACUGCAUGUUCUAUGUUCUAUGUCAGGGGUGGGCAAACUACGGCCCGGGGGCCACAUUCGGCCCGCCAAGUGUCUGAAUACGGCCCGCCCAAUCUUUCAAAAGUAUUUAAUUUAACAUACAACCUGGCAUCAUGGCCUGAGCCUUUUGAUGGUUGUAUCAAUUUCGUUGUUUGACAUGGUCUGUUGUUUACAAAGUGCUCCUGAAAAAAGAGACAC